AGUGAUCUAAGGCUGAGGCUUGGCAGGGCAUAAUCUGUGAUCUCAUAAAAGGGUUAGAGAUUACAGAGAGGACAGAGUAGAGUUGAAUUGGUUGUCCAAGCGGUCAAGAUGAAGAGAAGAGGAGAGAGUAGUUAGUACAGACGAAAUGGGGGGGAUCAAGGAGCUGGAGAUCAUGGUGAAGAUAAAGAGUAGGAUUUCAUAAGGAAAGGCAGAAGGAGAGGUGAAAAGCCAGUAAAUUGUGAUCAGAUGAGGGGAUUCAGAAUUUUUGAAAAUAGAAGUGGUACAUGUUGGUAAUGAUAAGAUCAAAGGUGUGACCAUCUUUGUGUGGGGCUAAGGUGCAGUGGAGUAUUCAUGGGAGGUAUCGGACAAGAUGCUACUUCCUUCCAAAUGGCCCUUAAAUUUUUGAGAUUCUUUGUCAGGCAGUGGGGUAGCCUGAAUAACACACAGCAUGGCCUGAAGUAGGCUUCCGGCUUCUCCAAAAUAAUUUAAUUGCUUAUAAGAGUUUUUCACCAUCCAGCUUCUGCUUUCAAUAACAAGUCAAUCUCACUAAAUAGAAGGACACAGAAUGAGUUUUCCCAUUUGCACAUUUAAUAGAACAUAGCUUUGUUCUGAUUCAAAUAUCUGAUGACUUAAGAUUUAUGUGUUCUGAAUCUGGGCUCAAAGAACCUUAGUUCAAACCCUAGGUUUUCUACUUACUACCUGCAAGGUCUUGACAGCUAAUGUAGUGUCUUUGGGCUCUUAGUAUGUCAAAAGAAGGAUUUCAAAGAGGCCACCAUUAAGGUAGCUUCCAAUUCUCAAUCCAUACUCCUAUGGUCCAGUGAGGGAUGGAAUAAAAUGACUUUUAGAGAUCCCUGCA